CUCCUUACAUUCUAUCUUUAUCUCCCCCUCCUCUUUCUUUCAAAAUAGAGUCACUCUCCCUAAUACACGUCUCUCCCUUACCAAUUGGAAACGUAUUCUCAUUUUCCGUUCUUUACAUCUCUCUCAUCUCUCUCCAAUAGGAAACCUUCUUUCUAUAUUAGAUUCCCAAUCUCCAACGCAUCUCUUCUUCUCUUACUAAUAGGAAACAGAGAAACCUCCUAUGCAUCACAGUCCGGACGAUACAGUUACUGUAAAGAGAUCCUAUUCUAUUCGGCUUUGGCAGGGUUGUAGGGUUUUGUUUGAGAGCUUAGGUUACUCCACAGAUGGGAUGGAAACCACCAACACCAUGAGAAAGUUGGGUCUAAUAUGGGUGACCUCUCGAAUUCACAUUGAAAUUUACAAAUUCAGAACAUGGCAGGGGUAACAUGAUUGAGACUGAGACAUGGUUAGAAGCUGGAAGAUUUGGGACAAGACGUGAUUUUACUAUCAAAGAUGCAACUGGUACGCUUAUUGGGAUAGCCACCA